GUUCAUGCAGUAAGGUGUUCUAGUGACUAUAGUUCAUGCAGUUAGGUGUACUAUUGACUAGUGACUAGUACAGUUAAUGUUAAUGACAGACUGACUAGUACUACAGGUCUCACGCAACACGAACGAACAGUACCGUACUGGGUAGAACUCCGGACAGCGACGAGAAACAUUUAUAUACAAACCGUUUCACGCCCCAUGAGUUAAAACUCCCACACUAGGUCGAAAUUCGGACAGCACACCGAUUAUUAAAAAAC